GGUUUCUAGACGCCGAAUUCUGACCUCCUCUUCAGGGAGGGCCUGGAACACCGAUCAAUUCGGCUACUGAGCACCUUCAGAGAAAGAGGGGCACCUACUGGAGACGCCACGCAGUGGAUGCGUGUGUGGGUGCGCUUGCAGCCUCCUGCAAGCCCCGCCUGGGCCCUCCUCUGCCAGAUCCCGGGUAGGCUGGCUCGAGAACCGGUUUCCCUCCUCCCCAGCGAGUGGGGGCCGGGUGGGGAGGCCCGGAAGCCCCGCCUCACCCCGCGAAGGCCGCUCCUUCCCAGAGGAAGCGUCUAGAACAGAACGCAGGCACCGGCUUGUGAACGCUGGACCGCGGAGCGGGUGGUGUGUAAACAGAAUUGCUGUCAAUCACGUCGCGUCGGAGAGUUACAGGCACCGCGCGGUGGAUUCUUUGGUGAAAGGAAAGCCUCUUUGCUGGGAGAAUACUCCCCCGCCAUUUAUAUCAUUGUUGAUUUCAGGUGGUCGUCACCUUUUCCAGCUUAGCUCUGAGUUUCUCUCUUCGGUCCUCUUUUUGGAUGAUCUUUUCUGCCCUUGUAACCCUCCACUUCCCACCUACUGGAAUGGCUGAGAAGCAUGUCAUCAGGAGGCAGAAUUUACCAGCUUUAAAAACAUGGGCUUUUAGCCCAAAGCCUGUGGUGGAUGGGGCACAGAAACCAUGAGAACGUCCCCCAAGCUCUCCACUCUGCCUUCAAGGCGGAAUGCGUGUCCCUUCACCUCACCUGCCUUUGAUUCUCUUCGAGCUGGGCUCCUCACCCCCGGGUGUAGCCACUUGGGACAGGGCGCCCCUUACUUCUCCUGGAGGAGGCAGCUAUAUUUCACAAGGGAUAGAAUGAUUUAUGUGCACAAUUUAAAUAGUUUUGGGGGGCUCUAAGGAAUGCAAAAUGCAGCAUAACUUGAAGGUACAGUAUACUUUAGGGAAAACGUGGAAUGCAUCGAAUGUUUUCUUUUCCUUCUUUGAAAGCUAGUUUAAAUCUAUUUCACUGACGAAACUGUUUAACCAUGUGCAAAUGUGUAAUUCUGCCUCCUGACACAUUGGCCAGGGUUGGGAUCACCGGCCAUGCCAAGGCUGGAAGCGCAGCUUCAACACCAUGGGGUGCUCCCAGCACAGAUUCCCUCUACAUUUAGAAUAUAUGGAAAAAUAGAAGAACUACUACUUUUUCCAGAUUCAAUGCCUUUCUUUAAACUCCCUCUUUGAAAUAUGCAUUUUUUUAGAGAGGGUGUCAUAUGUAUUAACUUUGUUCCCCUGUGAAGAUAGUUCGAGUUUUGAACAAAAUUGGGUAGUAAUUGUAAUCAAAUAUACUUAUUUAAAGUCAUUUCUAUUUUUGCAGAAAAUAAUUAUUCUUGUUUGGAAUUGUUGUUUAUGCCAAAAAUGAAGAUGUAAAAAUAUUUUAAGUAGUCCAGAAGUCCAUGAUUGCACCUUCUAGAAAUGAAAAUGAAUUUCAUUUCUAGAGAUACAUUUGAAUUUUUAUUUCAUUAUAUAACUUUUAUUGUGAAACAUUUCAGGCAUACCAAAAGCCCCACAGAGAAUUAUUAAUAUAUAACAAACAUCUACUACUCAGCCCAAGAGAUGAAGCUUUUCAAGUGUCAUUGACGCCCCCACCACACCAUGUGUCCCCUUCCUAAUCUUAUUGCCUUUCCUCACAUCCCUCUUAUGAAUUGAUGUUUAUCAUGGUCACACAUUAAAAAUAUUUUUGUUAUGUA